AGCAGCCGCGGUAAUUCCAGCUCCAAUAGCGUAUAUUAAAGUUGUUGCAGUUAAAAAGCUCGUAGUUGAAUUUCGGGAUCAGUAGGUUGGUCAUGCCUUUGGUAUGUACUGGCCUCACUGAUUCCUCCCUCUUGAAGAACUGUAAUGUUAUUAAUUUGGUGUUGCGGGGAAUCAGGACUGUUACUUUGAAAAAAUUAGAGUGUUUAAAGCAGGCUUACGCUUGAAUACAUUAGCAUGGAAUAAUGAAAUAGGACGUUUGAUUCUAUUUUGUUGGUUUCUAGGAUUGACGUAAUGAUUAAUAGGGAUAGUUGGGGGCAUUAGUAUUCAAUUGUCAGAGGUGAAAUUCUUGGAUUUAUUGAAGACUAACUACUGCGAAAGCAUUUGCCAAGGAUGUUUUCAUUAAUCAAGAACGAAAGUUAGGGGAUCGAAGACGAUCAGAUACCGUCGUAGUCUUAACCAUAAACUAUGCCGACUAGGGAUCGGAUGAUGUUAAUUUUUUAAUGACUCAUUCGGCGCCUUA
rnacentral:rRNA from 1 species